CAGCCGCCACGGUAAUACGGAGGGGGCUAGCGUUGUUCGGAAUUACUGGGCGUAAAGCGCACGUAGGCGGCUUGGUAAGUUAGAGGUGAAAGCCUGGAGCUCAACUCCAGAAUUGCCUUUAAGACUGCCGAGCUAGUAGGUGAGAGAGGUAAGUGGAAUUCCGAGUGUAGAGGUGAAAUUCGUAGAUAUUCGGAAGAACACCAGUGGCGAAGGCGGCUUACUGGCUCAUUCUAGACGCUGAGGUGCGAAAGCGUGGGGAGCAAACAGGAUUAGAGACCCCAGUAGUCCCUGUCUCUUAUAU
rnacentral:rRNA from 1 species